ACAGAGGGUGCGAGCGUUAAUCGGAAUUACUGGGCGUAAAGGGUGCGUAGGUGGCGACGUAAGUCAGGUGUGAAAGUCCCGGGCUUAACCUGGGGAUUGCGCCUGAUACUGCGUGGCUCGAGUAUUGUAGAGGAAAGUGGAAUUUCCGGUGUAGCGGUGAAAUGCGUAGAUAUCGGAAGGAACAUCAGUGGCGAAGGCGACUUUCUGGACAAAUACUGACACUGAGGCACGAAAGCAUGGGGAGCAAACAGGA
rnacentral:rRNA from 1 species